GCCAACUACACAAUGAUCUCACUUCAACUUGAACCCUCUCACUGAUUACUUAAUGAUGACCAAAGAUCUGAUGUUCGU
ensembl:snoRNA SNORD81 Small nucleolar RNA SNORD81